rnacentral:sRNA from 1 species
GCUGGGCGUGGUGGCGCACACCUGUAAUCCCAGUGGUUCAGGAGGCUGAGGCAGGAGGAUUUCAAGUUCAAAGCCAGCCUCAGCAAUGCUGAGGCACUGAGAAACUCAAUGAGAUCCUAUCUCUA